rnacentral:rRNA from 1 species
GAUGAACGCUGGCGGCGUGCUUAACACAUGCAAGCCGAACGGUGAAGCAGAGCUUGCUCUGUGGAUCAGUGGCGAACGGGUGAGUAACACGUGAGCAACCUGCCCCUGACUCUGGGAUAAGCGCUGGAAACGGCGUCUAAUACUGGAUAUGAGCUGCGACCGCAUGGUCAGCAGUUGGAAAGAUUUUUCGGUCUGGGAUGGGCUCACGGCCUAUCAGCUUGUUGGUGAGGUAAUGGCUCACCAAGGCGUCGACGGGUAGCCGGCCUGAGAGGGUGACCGGCCACACUGGGACUGAGACACGGCCCAGACUCCUACGGGAGGCAGCAGUGGGGAAUAUUGCACAAUGGGCGAAAGCCUGAUGCAGCAACGCCGCGUGAGGGAUGACGGCCUUCGGGUUGUAAACCUCUUUUAGCAGGGAAGAAGCGAAAGCGACGGUACCUGCAGAAAAAGCGCCGGCUAACUACGUG